CAGCUGGCCUGGUCUGUGGAGGUAGAAAACUCACCCUAACUCUGGGCUACCCCUUCUAGUGGCAGCCCACGCAAAAGGACAUGGAGGCUUCCGCUUCUUGUCCAGGCAUCCUCUUGCUGAGACAUCCCUUCUCUGAAAUAGCCUAUGAACAACAGUUUCUUCUCCCAAAACCUCAAUUCAAUUAAUUGCCUCAGAAAGGCCUUCAGAACAUCACUUGGAGCCACAGGUCAGUGGCUCACAUAAUGCCUUUGCCCUGGGUUCAAUCCCCAACACUGGAGAGGGGAAAGACAAAGACAGAAAACUACAAACCAAAACUUAAACUCUGCCAUCUCACUCCCUGCACAACCACUGGACUCAGUGGGCAGCAAGUUCAAAUUUCUGCCCACAAAAUCAGCUGGUCAGUACUAAAUCUGUUGUCAGCCAGAAUCCUCUCUGCUUGUCUCUUUGCAGUUCUUUCAUCAGCAAAUCCCAGGCCAUCUUUCAGGGCACAGUGAACUUAGAAAGAGCAGUAGUCAGUCAUGUUCUAGUCACCUCUCCUCCACCAGCUGGCCAGCUGGGAAACUAUCUCCAUCCUCUCCCCCUGCUUUAUCUUCUUCUUCCUUAAAACAUUGCUAGCAGUUGCACAGAACAAUGGUUACAGUGUCCAUUAACCUGAGAAGUGGUUUGAACCUGACAUCUUUUCUGAGCUAAAAAUGAGAAAAAGCAGAGCCAUGGCCUUCCUGCCACAGGGUCAAGAGAGGGAAAGCUCUGAAGGGCAGUUCUGGGAAGCAAUAAAGUCUCCUCAAGAUGAGGGACAAGAGAGAUGCGCUCUAGCUGAGGGUACAAAACAGAUAUCCUGGAGUCAAGGGACAGUGGAAGGGAAGGACAUAUUUAUUUUCCCCUUCUGAACUUCCCUGCUCCCCCAGCCUUUGCUUUCUUCUUAGCAGGCCCCUUGGGUUCUGGCUCCUUGCGCUUAGCUGAGGAGAGUGAGCCCGUCACCUUGAAGAAAUCAUCUAGGCGUCCCUGGGUGCUGCCCUGGCGGCUCUUACUCAGCCGCUUGACCCCACUGCGAAUUCGCUCCUCAGAAAACUGCUUUUCACCACACAUAAAUUUGACCAACUCUUCUUCAUUUGGCUCGCUCCACUUCAGCUCCACAGACUCUGGGUCCAGUACUUCCGGCUCCAGGAAGAGCUGCUGGGCUUCCUUGUGGAGCCAGUUCUCUGGAACAGGGUACUUGCUGGGGUCCAGCCGCCUCACGAUCUCCUCGAUGCUUUUAUGUUUCUGGAUGAGAUCCACAGCCCUCUUGGGCCCAAUGCCACGGAUACUCUCGCAGUAGUCGCUACCCAGCAGGAUGCACAGAUCCACAAACUGCUCCUGGUUCAGACCCAGCUCCUGCAGGACGCGGCUCAGGUGGAACUCUUGGAUGGGCAGCUUCUUGGCCUCACUGGCAGUUAAGUGUCGCAUUAGCACAGGGCUGCCAAAAGUGAGGCAGUCCAUGUCCUCUGUGGCCGCAGCAUAGACUUUGCCAGCUUUCGCCAGGGCAGCACAGCUGGCCUCUGCCUCACUGGGUGCAUCAAGGUACGGGAUGCCCAUGAGGCUCAGCAGGUGUUUGCACUCAUCAUUGUGUUGCUUGGUGACCUUCACGAGCCGCUUGGUGAACUUCUCCACCUCCUCCUCCAUCCCAGCCUCCUGAGCCUGCUGCAGCUGCUUCUCAGCCUCGGCACGCCUCUCACUGCGCUUGGCCAGCUCGCCUGACUUCAGCUGUGGUGGUUUGCCGUCAAAGACAUACACAGGCUUGAUGCCAUUCUCCAUCAUGCGGAUGGUACGGUAGAACAUGCCCAUCAGGUGGCUGGUGGUCUCACCCUCCUCGUUCUGCAGCACAUCCCCACCCUGACGAACAGCUAUCAGGAACUGGUAGAUGCUCAUGGAGGCAUCGAUGGCCACUUUGCGACCAAAGUAGCUCUUGAUGUCAUUCUCACGGAUGGCACUGGGGGCCACAUCAGCAAUUAGUUUGGCAAGGCCUUGAAUUCCCAUGGUAACACAGAAGCAAUGGCUGAAACAAAGAAAGAAGAGUAAGAGGAAAAACUUGGAGGAUACAAAAGGAACAAAAGUUGUAAAUUGCAACAUUCACCAAUCUCAUGUUUCAUCAAAUUUAACAUGAAACACAGCAGGACUCCAAGCCAGCAGAGCAGAAGAGGCAAAGGUGAACAGAUCCACCGCUCUCCUCCUGAGAGUCAGAAGCUGCUCUGGGUGCUUCAGGAAUGAGAUCUGGGGUGUUCUUGAACAACUUAAGGGCUCUGAAUAACGCAAUGGCACCAUCUGUCACACAUCUUCAACUUUAAUCUGCAUUAAAGAUCAUAGAAGGCAAGAGUGCUUGGCUCAGCUUGAAGGGUCCUGAAAUCAUUAAGGCAGACAUGAGCCCUUAGGAGCAGGUAAGUUCUGGCUAUGUGAAUAUGACUAGGUCUGAUUUAUUGUUUCUCCACAGAUGUCUAACCGAUGCAGCAGACCUGAGGAGUACACCUCUGCAUGAGGACCAGGUGGCCACCUCACUGAUGCUACUCUUCCCUUCCCAUCUCCCUUAGCACCCGAGGUUCUGUUUUUAUCAGGAUGCCAGCGGAGUUUUAAGUCCUCCUCUUUAUACUCUCUUCCCCCCUCUAAGUCUGAAACGUGAAUGCCAUGACUUCCUACAGAUCCUGAAUUGAGGGCUGGCAUGCUGGAUUCACACGGCCCAAGACUGCACUUCUGUUGUACUUCCAUCAAAUUACUCCUAGGGAAGCAUUUCCAAAACUACCCUCACAAUUUUUGGCUCUUCCAAUUAAAACAUUAAUUUUCCUUUUAUCUAAUUAUUUUUCUUUAAAUAGACUUUCAAGAAAAAUUUCAAAAAAAGGGGGGGGGGACAAAAAAAUUAGUUGUGAGUAAUGGUGAAUGCCUUUAAUCCCAGCACCUAGAAGGCACAGGCAAGUGGAUCUCUGAGUUCAAGGCCAGCCUAGUCUACAUAGCAAGUCCCAGGCCAGCCAGGAUUACACAGUUGAGACCCUGUCUCAAAAACAGAAAAUUAAGUUGGGAAAGAGAAUCCAUCUUAAACAAAAAUAUCUGCAUUGUGUCAGUCAAGUUAUAUUAAUGUGUUAAAUGUACAAUAAAAGGAUUUUCUAACAUGCAA
ensembl:processed_transcript Gm10143 predicted gene 10143